GUCAUUGAGGUUUUCUAUUAGUGUUUUGAGCGAUGAGUUUAGGGGUUCUCUAUCAUGAAGAACUACAGAAGUAUUUCUGAAGACUGAUUCAAGUACUACAACAAAUAAAACAGGUGAGUUUAAAGACAAAUACAAUAGUUUCUUUACUAAUAUAAGAUUCAUGUUCUUAUUCCUGCAUAGAAUGAAUCUUGAAGGAUAGUUUGAAUUUGGGGUUUUCCAUCUCUGAUCCAACUAAAGAUCAAUUUUAAACACUGGAGUUUUUUUGUCCAUUUUCCAAGUGUUUUUAGCGUAUGUAUUUUUCCAUCAAGAAGAAUUGGACGAGGAUUUUUGACGAUGAAUUCAAGUGCUGUUCCAGAUCAACAGAGAAGUAAGUUUAUAAUAACAUAGUUAACAAAAAAACAGGUAAGUCACAUUUUCACAAUUAUUUCUAUAAUUUCUUUAUAUAUAUGAUGAUAAAUCGGGUUUCAGGGGAUUCUGUUUUUGUGCAUUUUCUGAUGCUUUUCAUUGAAUCUCUAAGUUAUGGGAUUCAGCACUUGUGUUAUCUUUUGUUUCCAUUAAAUAUUGUUCUUUGUUAGUUCAUCAGGAUGCAUCUUGUAAGAAAUUUUCUGGGUUGAAUUCAUGGUCAAUUUUGGGUUUCGCUAUGAUUAUUUCUGUGAAAUCUAUGUGAGUUUCGGCUGGAUCUUUAAUGGUUGUGUUUGGUGUUUCUUUUCGUUCAAUGUAUGGCUAUUUCAGCAAUUGUAUACCUAGAGUGAUAAUGUUCUUUGUUGUUUAUGUAAUUCCUUUGUCUUUAUAAUUGAGAUCUUUUUUGGUGCGUUUGGAUGGGUCUUGAAGCAUUUACCCUUUUGGACUGAUAAUCAAUCUUGGAUUAUACUGUAUUUGUUUUGUUCUUUGAAUUUUAUAUUCGCUGAAUCUUUCAUGAAAUUUGUAUUUGAUUUGAAUAUUGAUUAGUUUUGGGUUCACUUUUCGUUUUAUGUGUGGUUACUUCAGCAAUUGUGUUCUAACUUCUAAGUAUGUCAUGUUCUCUUUGUUUCUUUAAUUUUUACAUUUUUGGUGCAUUGUCUUGAAUCUUGAUUGAUAUUCCAUGGGUUCAAUUUUUUGUUUGUUAGAUUUAUUUAUGUGAAUUCUCCAUGCAUUUUAGGUGCAUCUAAAGAAUUUGUGCUUUUUGUGUUUGGAUUGAAUAAGUAUAACUAGUAAGUUGCGGGUAUUCUUUUUAUUUUUUGUAUGCAUAUUUCAACAGUUUUUUUUUCCUUCCUGUGAUAAUGUUCUCUUCAUUAAGUAAUUUGUGUGUCGUUAUGAUCAAGUUAUUUUUGGUACAUUUGGGUGAAUAUUGAAGGAUCUUUGUGGAUCUUGUUCUUUAGAUGAUGAUCAAUCUUGGAUUUCAAUGGAUUUGUUUCUGUGAAUUCUUCGUAGGUUGAAUUUUUAACGUACUUUGUGCUUUUAUUUUUGGUUUAUACCCUUUUUCUUUCUACAUCUGGUUAUUUUGAAAAUUAUAUGUUCUCACUACAAUGUUCUCUUUGUUUCUAUAAUUUCAGUGUUCUUAUAAUAUUCUUUGAUGUUGCAUUUGGAUGAAUUUUAAAGGAUCUUUUUCGGAUUUUGUUCUUUGGAGCGAUGAUCAAUAUUGGGUUUCAUUGGAUUUCUUUAUGUGAAUUUUAUGUGAGUUGAAAUUUCAAUGUAAUAUGUUCUUUUGUGUUAUGUUUGUUAUGGAUCCUUUUUGAGAAGAGGAAGAACUUGUUUCCACUCUCAGGUGAAGAAGGUAUGAAACGAUGGGACCAAUUAGGUUUGAACUUGUUUUGCUCUUUACGUUCAUUUUAAAGAUGUGAUGUAAAAGCAUCAUUUUAUUAAUGCUUGCUUACGUUGUUAAUCAAAUUAAUUAGGAAGAGAGUGGUACAGAGAGAGAUUCAGAUUUUCGUGUGAUGAUACCUUCUCAUCCUUCUUAAUUUUUCUAUAUUCUUGUACAAAUUGAAUUUGAGUUAGCUUAUAGCAAGUUUCCAUUAAAUAUUGUUCUUUGUUAGUUCAUCAGGAUGCAUCUUGUAAGAAAUUUUCUGGGUUGAAUUCAUGGUCAAUUUUGGGUUUCGCUAUGAUUAUUUCUGUGAAAUCUAUGUGAGUUUCGGCUGGAUCUUUAAUGGUUGUGUUUGGUGUUUCUUUUCGUUCAAUGUAUGGCUAUUUCAGCAAUUGUAUACCUAGAGUGAUAAUGUUCUUUGUUGUUUAUGUAAUUCCUUUGUCUUUAUAAUUGAGAUCUUUUUUGGUGCAUUUGGAUGGGUCUUGAAGCAUUUACCCUUUUGGACUGAUAAUCAAUCUUGGAUUAUACUGUAUUUGUUUUGUUCUUUGAAUUUUAUAUUCGCUGAAUCUUUCAUGAAAUUUGUAUUUGAUUUGAAUAUUGAUUAGUUUUGGGUUCACUUUUCGUUUUAUGUGUGGUUACUUCAGCAAUUGUGUUCUAACUUCUAAGUAUGUCAUGUUCUCUUUGUUUCUUUAAUUUUUACAUUUUUGGUGCAUUGUCUUGAAUCUUGAUUGAUAUUCCAUGGGUUCAAUUUUCUGUUUGUUAGAUUUAUUUAUGUGAAUUCUCCAUGCAUUUUCGGUGCAUCUAAAGAAUUUGUGCUUUUUGUGUUUUCUCCAUGCAUUUUAGGUGCAUCUAAAGAAUUUGUGCUUUUUGUGUUUGGAUUGAAUAAGUAUAACUAGUAAGUUGCGGGUAUUCUUUUUAUUUUUUGUAUGCAUAUUUCAACAGUUUUUUUU
rnacentral:lncRNA from 1 species